GACGAACGCUGGCGGCGUGCUUAACACAUGCAAGUCGAACGGUGAAGCGCCUUCCUUUUUGGUGGGUGUGGAUGAGUGGCGAACGGGUGAGUAACACGUGAGUAACCUGCCCCCUUCUUCUGGAUAACCGCAUGAAAGUGUUGCUAAUACGGGAUAUUCUGGGUCUGUCGCAUGAUGGGUCUGGGAAAGAUAUUGUUUCGGUGGGGGAUGGGCUCGCGGCCUAUCAGCUUGUUGGUGGGGUGAUGGCCUACCAAGGCGGUGACGGGUAGCCGGCCUGAGAGGGUGGACGGUCACACUGGGACUGAGACACGGACCAGACUCCUACGGGAGGCAGCAGUGGGGAAUAUUGCACAAUGGGCGGAAGCAUGAUGCAGCGACGCCGCGUGAGGGAUGGAGGCCUUCGGGUUGUGAACCUCUUUCGCCAGUGAAGCAGGCCUGCCUCGUUUGUGGGUGGGUUGACGGUAGCUGGAUAAGAAGCGCCGGCUAACUACGUG
rnacentral:rRNA from 1 species